ACUGACCUCAAGAAGGAAAUAAUUUUAGGGAAGUACAAGCUGUUACCCAAGAUGGAUUGCAAAAAGAUGUGGUCAGCGGAAAAAGCACAAAACCAGUAAAAAAGAGAGAGAACAUACACAAGACAAAUCACUAGGAAUGAGAAUAAACAUUUGAAAUGCAUGUAAUAAAUCAUCACUCUUUAACAAGUAAGGCCUCACAGUGUAGCGUUGUAGAGUAGGCUAUAGCAUGAUAAAACACAAUAUAGAGUAAACUCACAAACAUCAUUUUCACUAGAGAAUAUUAAAGAAAAUGACCAGAAAAUAGAUAUUAAAAAAGAAACCUAUUACAGGCCUACUCAUCCAGUUUUAUAAGCUUCAGAAUGAGAGAAAGCUUGAGAGUGCAAUGAAGUAUUAAAGGAUGUGGGAGUAAUUUUAAAACCUAGAAUGUCUAGGUUAAAUGCAUUUUUGUUUAUGUUUGUAUGAAAAGAUAAAAAAUGAGAAGACAACAUUAGUAGUAUGAGACACAACCUUGGUUUAUUGACCACCCUUGUUUAAUGGUUAAACGCAGUGGCGUGCCGUGCUUUUCACACCUAGGCCUUCACUGGUGUCUUUCCUGAAUUAAUCCACCUCUAUACCAUCAUUUUCUACUCAGCCCUCCUAAAAUUCUGCGAUUCUCCAUAAACUGUACACAAAUUGGUGAUCGCUUCAGUCCCCUUUAAAUUUCAUAUGAAAACGGCAGCAGACUUCGGCUCCUCCCCGUCUUUCAACAGAUUCUUCAGUCCGCAGCGGCGCAGAGCGAGGAUCAGAUUAAGACUCAGGCUUUUACAACCGGUAUUUUGUCGUCUCGAAGAAAGACGGGGGGGCUGCAUCCAAUUUUGGACCUGCGGGCUUUGAACUGUGCACUGAAGACAUUCAAGUUCAAGAUGCUCACACUCAGACUUAUCGCAUUGCAAAUCAGGUCCGAGGACUGGUUUGUGACGACAGACCUCAAAGAUGCCUAUUUUCAUCUAGGUGUUCCUGCUUUUGGGGGUGAAGUAUACCAGUAUUGUGUUCUUCCUUUUGGUCUAACCCUGUCACUAUGCCCAUUUACAAAGUGCAUGGAUGCUGCCCUGGAGACCACGGGGUGCGUGUACUAAAUUACUGAAUUAGCUGGAUGACUGGCUCAUUCUGGCCCAGUCGAAGGCCAUGGUGGCCUGUUAUCGAGCUGUGCUUGCCCAAAUGAGGUCUCUAGGACUCAAGGUGAACCCAGAGACGUGUGUACUUUCUCCUUCUGAGAGAACCACCUUCUUGGGUGUAGUUUGGGAUUCCACCACGAUGCAGACAUGUCUGUCUCCUGCUCAGGUGGCUUCCUUACUGUCAGCGGUGAAAGCUAUUCGGCUAGAUCAAAGCCUCUCUGUCGCCAAGGUGCAGAGAGUGUUUGGCCUCAUGGCAGCAGCAGCUGACGUUAUCCCAUUGGGUCUGCUUCACAUCCCCUCAGGCAUCCCCUCAGUGCCAUAAAGGUUACGUGCCACGGGCUUUGUACCCUUCUUAUGUGGAAAAGACCCCGCUUUUUGCCCUUGGGUCUCACACUAGGGGCACGUCAUUGUCUCAAGACUCUUUCGACGGACACCUUGCUUUUGGGCUGGGAGCAGUCUUGGACAGCGACUCUGCCCAGGGUCUCUGGGAGGGCCAUCAUCUCUCCCACUAUCCGCUAUAGUAUUCCCUUUCUCAGCCAGCCCCUCUGGGCCUGGAUGCUCUGAUGCCAAGGUUGCGACUGUACACCUUUUCCCCGGUAGCUCUGCUCCCAGAAGUCCUAGCAAGUGUGUGCCAUGAUCAAGUCCACCUUCUUCUAGUGGGUCCUCGCUGGCCUGCUGGAGUUUGGUUCCUGGACCUUGUCUCCCUCCUAGACGGCACUCCUUAGAAGAUUCCUGUCAGGAAAGAUCUACUCUCUCAGGCCCCACAUAUACACAUUGCAUAAUAUUACUGUAUUUUCAAUCAUAUAUGUCAUAUAUGUCUUACAAACCAUAUAAAGCCUUAUAGAUUUCCAGGAUGUAAAAACAUAGGGAAAUAAUGCUAAUUUAAUAUGAAUGUCCAUCAUAUGUCUUAAGACAUCUAUUAAACAUUUAGUUAGACACAGCAGUUUACCAAUCAGUAUAAGGCUGUACUUGCUUUCAUAUUGUCCUAAACAGAGCCCUGUACAUGUCAGAGUCAUGUACUGUAUAAUCAUAGACUUGCACCCUUAGAUAAAACACAACAUUUAAAGUACACACACAAAAACACAUGUUGGAACAGCACAGCCACAGAGGACUAUUUUAUUUUGUCAAAACUUAUUAGCCCACAGAAGCUGCAUCAUGAAAUAUUUUACUGACACAAGUUUGCUAAUGUGCCUUUAAGAACAAUUCUUUGUAAGUGUGUGUGAGAAAUGGUAGAGGAAAUUAAAGAAAACAGAUGAAAAUAGUAAUCAGUUAAUAAUUAUAUCUAUUUUUUCCAUACAAUCUGUCGACCCCAAGCAAUUAUCUUGCACUCGAGGGGUUCUGAACUUCUGACCUGGUGCUGACCCAGAGUGAGAAAAAAAAUUAGCAUACCUUUUUUUCCACCUGGUCUGAGUACGACAAGGAAACCUUCUUUCUUCUAAUUUGCAAUUGUGAAAACAAUACGCUUUUUUUUCCGGCAUGUUUUCUGCAUUAAUUUAAAGUAGACUAUUUUCUGAGCACAGAUGUGAACAUAAGUAAGUAAUGUGCGUCCAUGAAAAAAGACUAUAAAAUAUGCCGAUUGGUUGAUGCUUGAACUGCCUUCACGGGAUCCUAUGAAAAGCCUGAUCGCUGGCUCAUUUCGAAAAGCACCCGAGGUAAAAUAGAGCGUUGCUUUCAACAACUCGGCGUUUAUGGAUUGCUUGAUUUCUUUAUUAACAUCACCAGGUGAAAGGUAGGAAGAAAUUUUCACUUGUUGUAAUGUUUACUCAGGCAGCGAUAUUGAUUUGUGCAUUUAGCAAAUUCUAAGUAGUUGUUUUGUUCAAAUUUGUUAAUGCUAGCCUAUCAGACUACAGUUUCAACAUUUUGCUUAGCAGCUAUUAAAUGGAGCUGUAGCCGGGAAUUCACUGCAACAUCUUUGACCAACCUUCCUUCGUGUAUUUAGGCAACGUUAGCUAGAUUGUUUGUUAGCUAGAUUGUGUAUAGGUGUGAUAAGGAAGUUUGCAGUGGUCCAGUGGGUCAGUGGGGAGGAUGCUGGGAUGUACAGAGAAGUGAAAACUGAUGCCAUACGUAAAUAUGAUGACACCAAGAUGGAUGACCCACAAACUAACUAUACAGCUGCUGUGGAAUGGCAGAAAGGGAAAAAGCUGGCCAGUGUACACUGCCUCUGUUUUCUAAGUUUGUAAGCAGAGCAAUGCUGCAAAAGUGGCCUCAUGUGGCACCCUCCAGCAUUGGUGCAACCAUCAAUGCCAAACUUACUGAGAUUAGUGUGAAGAAGAAAACACAAGAACAUCCAGAAACCUUAAUGCUCUUUGAUGAUUGAUUUCAUUGACAAUGAUGACAUUGUGUUCAAGGUUGAAGCAUUUGCAUGAUGGCUGCACCAGUGAAACUGCAGAUUGUCUUUGGUGCCAACAAUGCUGAAAAGCUGACCAUAGAAUCGGGCAUGCCAAAGUCUGUGAACGUAAUAAAUAAACAUAAAUUAUGUGUUUUGCUGUCUACAUUUUAUUAAAACAAGAGCUGCUCUCAGUCAAGAGUAAAAAUCAUUUACAAGGUCUUCUGCCUAAAACAACCGGAAUUAUAAAAUACAUCUUUACUGCAAGCAGAAUGAGAAUGAGAAGUUAACAUGGAGGACUUUAAAAUAGUUUAAUUCUUACUUUUUUGUCUGUAGUCUAGCCUGAUCAAAUUAAGUGUAACUUGUUUUGUGUUGUGUUUUAAGAAAUCUCUGUGCUGCAGCCGUCAUCAGUUUCUUCAAAUUACAAGUAACGUAACCAC